AUAAAUAUGCAAUCCAGCUUUCUCAACUAGUCAAGCAAAACAGAAAUUCUCUAACCGCUACAAAUCGACGCUCAAACUUUCUCAGCUUCCAAACAAAACCCAUCAAUUUUUCCAAUGUCAAUCAUCCCCAACUUCCGACGAGGCAGCAUUUUCGAUCCUUUCUCUCUCGAUCUCUGGGAACCCUUAAAGGAAUUCUCAUUCCCUUCCUCCUCAUCAAUCUCCACAUUCCCUGAAUUUUUCCGGGAAAAUUCAGCUAUCCUGAACACCAGAAUCGACUGGAAGGAGACCCCAGAAGCCCACGUGUUCAAGGCAGACCUCCCGGGACUGAAGAAAGAAGAGGUGAAGGUGGAGGUUGAAGACGACAGGGUGCUUCAGAUCAGCGGAGAGAGGAACGUAGAGAAGGAGGACAAGAGCGACAAGUGGCACAGAGUGGAGCGCAGCAGCGGCAAGUUCUUGAGGAGGUUUCAGCUUCCUGAGAAUGCAAAGGUGGACGAGAUUAAGGCUGCAAUGGAGAAUGGGGUUCUAAGUGUCACUGUUCCAAAGGCAGAGGUGAAGAAGCCUGAUGUCAAAGCCAUUGAAAUCUCUGGUUAAUAUCGUCUCUGCGGGCACCUUCACAUUAUGUAUUUCUAUGUUUGAUUUUGGAGUGUCAGUUGGCAUCAAUGUUGAUAUCAACGAAAUGAGCUUGAGUGUUUGUAACAUAAUGGCUUGUAACUUGUUCGUUUUUAAUAUAAAUGGAUCGUAAUUGAGG
rnacentral:lncRNA from 1 species